rnacentral:lncRNA from 1 species
GGAUAUCAGUACAGUCCUGUUGAAUCUAUUGCCUUCAAAAAAUGAAAGAUCCUGGUACUCCUUUGAUUUCAUAUGUUAUAGGAGGCAUCACCUUUGACCGAUCCUUGUUAGACUUAGGAGCUAGUGUCAACCUACUUCCAACCUCGAUCUAUGAAAAAUUUGGGAUAGGAGAACAAAAAUCUACGUCGGUUAUUUUGCAACUAGCUGAU